UGAAAUUAUAGGACAAGCACGCCAUAUGUGGAUUUCUUGAAAGAUCAAGAUGUAAUCAGGAUUGUCCUUAAUAUAUUGCAGAAGAUCUUCAGUGACAACAUAAGACAGCCAACACAAAUGCUAAACAUACAACACCGACAUUCUGCACGAAAUUGCCCUUAGAUGGCAACCGAACACGGGGAUGUGGCAAGCUCGGAUCCAUUGUUCAUCUUGCAAGGGUCCAAGCUACAUCUGAGAGGAAGUAAUCUGGUUCACCGUGGCCAUAAAAAGAAAUAUGGCUGUAUCAACCAUGCCUUGAAACUCAGAUGUCAAGCCAAGGAAACACAUCUUUUUGGGUGUGCUAUUUCUCAAAUGCAUUCAUACAGAUCUUCUCCAGCAACAAUGGCCAAUCUUCUCCAAGUUGCUGUGGAUUUAACUCCAUUGCAACCUUGAAAUCGAGCAAUGAUAUUGGUGUCAUUACAAAGAAUUGUAGACAUGCUCCAGAUUGACAAGAAAAAAUGUAAGUGCCCUUGUUAUGUACUUUUUUUCUUUCUUUCCCUCUGCGUUGGCUAUGGCGGGGAGUUGGCUAAUAUUACAUAUCGUAAGAGAUUUAUUGUAAUUUGUUAUUAAAGGGUUCCAUUCUUUGUAUCAUUUGGAUCAAAUGGUUGUUUUUGUUAAUAACUUAAUAAUGUGAAUAAAGGUUCACUUUGUGGAUUGAACUUUGUGAUAAA